GACGAACGCUGGCGGCGUGCUUAACACAUGCAAGUCGAACGGAAAGGCCCUGCUUUUGUGGGGUGCUCGAGUGGCGAACGGGUGAGUAACACGUGAGUAACCUGCCCUUGACUUUGGGAUAACUUCAGGAAACUGGGGCUAAUACCGGAUAGGAGCUCCUGCUGCAUGGUGGGGGUUGGAAAGUUUCGGCGGUUGGGGAUGGACUCGCGGCUUAUCAGCUUGUUGGUGGGGUAGUGGCUUACCAAGGUUUUGACGGGUAGCCGGCCUGAGAGGGUGACCGGCCACAGGGGGACUGAGAUACGGCCAAGACUCCUCCGGGAGGCAACAGUGGGGAAUAGUAAACAAGGGGCGGAGGCCUGAGGCAGAAACGCCGGGGGCGGGAGGACGGCCUUCGGGUUGUAAACCGCUUUCGCCGGUGACGAAGCGUGAGUGACGGUAAUGGGUAAAGAGGCACCGGCUAACUGCG
rnacentral:rRNA from 1 species